rnacentral:rRNA from 1 species
GAUCCUGGCUCAGGACGAACGCUGGCGGCGUGCUUAACACAUGCAAGUCGAACGGGGCGCUUAUGAUGGAGAUUUCGGUCAACGGAUUAAGUUGCCUAGUGGCGGACGGGUGAGUAACGCGUGAGUAACCUGCCUUUCAGAGGGGGGACAACAGUUGGAAACGACUGCUAAUACCGCAUAAUAUAUAUGGACCGCAUGAUCUGUAUAUCAAAGAUUUAUCGCUGAAAGAUGG